rnacentral:piRNA from 1 species
CGAGUUACGAAGAGAACAGUUGAUG